CCAGAAAACGCGUGGGGGCUUCGGCCCUGAGUAGAGUGGCGAACGGGUGAGUAACACGUGGGUGAUCUACCUCUGAGUGGGGGAUAACGUUCCGAAAGGAGCGCUAAUACCGCAUGACGUUCCGGGUUUGAAGACCUGGAAACCAAAGCCGGGGACCGCAAGGCCUGGCGCUUGGAGAGGAGCCCGCGCCUGAUUAGCUGGUUGGUGGGGUAACGGCCCACCAAGGCGACGAUCAGUAGCCGGCCUGCAGUAGGGCGGACGGCCACACUGGGCACUGAUGACACGGCCCCAGACUCCUACGGGAGGCCGCAGUGGGGAAUUGUUCACAAUGGGCGCAAGCCUGACGACGCAACGCCGCGUGGAGGAUGAAGGUCUUCGGAUUGUAAACUCCUGUUGAUCGGGACGAAUGGGCUCCAACCCAACACGUUGGGGCAGUGACGGUACCGAUUGAGGAAGCCACGGCUAACUCUGUGCCAGCAGCCGCGGUAAUACAGAGGUGGCAAGCGUUGUUCGGAAUUACUGGGCGUAAAGGGCGCGUAGGUGGCUGUCUAAGUCAGACGUGAAAUCCCCAGGCUUAACUUGGGAACUGCGUCUGAUACUGGAGAGCUUGAGCUCGGGAGAGGGAUGUGGAAUUCCAGGUGUAGCGGUGAAAUGCGUAGAUAUCUGGAGGAACACCGGUGGCGAAGGCGGCAUCCUGGACCGAAACUGACACUGAGGCGCGAAAGCCAGGGGAGCAAACGGGAUUAGAUACGCGGUAGUCCUGGCCCUAAACGAUGAGUGCUUGGUGUGGCGGGUAUCGAUCCCUGCCGUGCCGAAGCUAACGCAUUAAGCACUCCGCCUGGGGAGUACGGUCGCAAGGCUGAAACUCAAAUGAAUUGACGGGG
rnacentral:rRNA from 1 species